rnacentral:rRNA from 1 species
GAUGAACGCUGACAGAAUGCUUAACACAUGCAAGUCCACUUGAACUUCGGUUUGGGUGGCGGACGGGUGAGUAACGCGUAAAGAACUUGCCUCACAGUUAGGGACAACAUUUGGAAACGAAUGCUAAUACCUGAUAUUAUGAUUUUAGGGCAUCCUAGAAUUAUGAAAGCUAUAUGCGCUGUGAGAGAGCUUUGCGUCCCAUUAGCUAGUUGGAGAGGUAACGGCUCACCAAGGCGAUGAUGGGUAGCCGGCCUGAGAGGGUGAACGGCCACAAGGGGAAUGAGACACGGCCCUUACUCAUACGGGAGGCAGGAGUGGGGAAUAUUGGACAAUGGACCAAGAGUCUGAUACAGCAAUUCUGUGUGCAAGAUGAAGUUUUUCGGAAUGUAAAGUGCUUUCAGUUGGGAAGAAAAAAAUGACGGUACCAACAGAAGAAGUGACGGCUAAAUACGUG